rnacentral:rRNA from 1 species
UACGGUAGGGUGCAAGCGUUGUCCGGAAUUAUUGGGCGUAAAAGAGCUCGUAGGCGGUUCGUCGCGUCGGCUGUGAAAUCCCGAGGCUCAACCUCGGGUCUGCAGUCGAUACGGGCGGACUGGAGUUCGGCAGGGGAGACUGGAAUUCCUGGUGUAGCGGUGAAAUGCGCAGAUAUCAGGAGGAACACCGGUGGCGAAGGCGGGUCUCUGGGCCGAUACUGACGCUGAGGAGCGAAAGCGUGGGGAGCGAACAGG